UGAUAAGAAUAGUUCGUAGCGUA
rnacentral:siRNA from 1 species